rnacentral:rRNA from 1 species
CAACAGCUCAAAUUUGAAAUCUGGAGCCUUCGGCUUCCGAGUUGUAAUUUGAAGAGGAUGUUUCGGUGCGGCCUGGGCCUAAGUUCCUUGGAACAGGACGUCAUGGAGGGUGAGAAUCCCGUACAUGGCUGCAGGCUUGCUUCUAUGUGAAACUCCUUCGAAGAGUCGAGUUGUUUGGGAAUGCAGCUCAAAAUGGGUGGUAAAUCUCAUCUAAAGCUAAAUAUUGGCGGGAGACCGAUAGCGCACAAGUAGAGUGAUCGAAAGAUGAAAAGCACUUUGAAAAGAGAGUUAAACAGUACGUGAAAUUGUUGAAAGGGAAGCGCUUGCAAUCAGACUUGCCUUCAGUUGAUCAGCCAUCCUUCUGGUUGGUGCACUCUGCUGUUGGCGGGCCAGCAUCAGUUGGGGCGGUGGGACAAAGGUGGCAGGAAUGUGGCUCGUUCGCGAGUGUUAUAGCCUGCUGCGCCAUGCCACCAGCCCCGACUGAGGUCCGCGGUUCGCCUAGGAUGCUGGCUUAAUGGUUGU